UACAGAGGUCUCAAGCGUUGUUCGGAUUCAUUGGGCGUAAAGGGUGCGUAGGCGGUCGGGUAAGUCAGGUGUGAAAUCCCGGGGCUCAACCCCGGAACUGCAUUUGAUACUGCGUGGCUCGGGUACUGGAGAGGAGACUGGAAUUUACGGUGUAGCAGUGAAAUGCGUAGAUAUCGUAAGGAAGACCAGUGGCGAAGGCGAGUCUCUGGACAGUUACCGACGCUGAGGCACGAAGGUCAGGGGAGCAAACGGG
rnacentral:rRNA from 1 species